CCGAGUUUUUACACUCUAAACCCUGCGAACCUUACCGAUAGUAGCUUCGGCGGCCUGCCCCUGGGGGGGUGGUCUACGGCCGCCGAAAGCAACUAAAACUCUGUUUAAAAGUCUUCUGAGUGGCUCUAUAAAACAAGUCA
rnacentral:misc_RNA from 1 species